UCACCUUGCUUUUGUUGGGAGAAGCUGCUGCUGUUUCAGUCACAAGUUCUGCUUCCUCUAGACACUGUAAGUUGUUUCCAGUUGUUUGAUGGUUAAAUAUGCUCUGUUUUCUAAGUGAAUAGACAUUGCCUUGCCGUAAAUUGGACUGUUUUCUGUAAGUGCUGCCAGAAGUCCCGCCCCCACCUCCAACUGCAUGAUCAACAUGGUGCAACUCACUGGCUGACAACGUGGUGUCAAUAGAUAAUUCAGAUCAUUUUCAAACAAGGUUGGCCAUAAAGAUGCUCUUAUGAGGUGCUCUCCCAGUGUCUGUAGCACAGGAGAUGGAAGACUCAUGUGGCCUCAUCAAAUUUUGAAAUGGUGCUGAUUCUAUAUGUCUAGGAGUUCGGUUUUGAGAGGUCCCAACUUCAUGCUGCAUCAACUCGGCACUUGCGAGGGUAAUCUGGCCCUGCUGCCUUUCUGGCAUCAGAACAGUGCGAUGGGAUCUUUAUGUCCGGGUGAGAGGGCAGACAGGGCCUCAGUUUAAUGUCACAUCUGAAUACAUCAAGAUGGCUGCCAGUGCCCAAAGCUACCAAUGAAGAAAUCAGC